rnacentral:rRNA from 1 species
AUACGGAGGGGGCAAGCGUUGUUCGGAAUUACUGGGCGUAAAGGGCGCGCAGGCGGUUUCGUUAGUCAGGCGUGAAAUCCCCGGGCUCAACCCGGGAACUGCGUUUGAUACUGCGGAACUAGAGAUCGGGAGAGGGUAGUGGAAUUCCCAGUGUAGAGGUGAAAUUCGUAGAUAUUGGGAAGAACACCAGUGGCGAAGGCGGCUACCUGGACCGAUACUGACGCUGAGGCGCGAAAGCGUGGGGAGCAAACAGGAUUAGAAACCCCUGUAGUCC